AUGUAGAGAAGAUAAGGUGACACCACUUGUACAUAUUCCGGUCGCAAAUUUUCUCGGCAGUGUGGUAGGUAGCGCCACCAUUCACCCGAAGGCCGGUUUUCAUAUUGUGAAUACAUUGUUUUUAACGUAAAAUUUCAAAAAUUAUAUACAUUUUUGUCGUGUUUGAUACUAUUACUUCAAAUUUAAAAUAUUGACCACAUAAGAAUUAUUUUUAAGUAAUCAUUCUAUUCAAUUAGCAUUCUCUGCAUCACAUACAAAAUACAUUCUUGAUUGUAAAUAAAAUGUUAUAAUAUUUUUGGUCAAUUCAUUUGCAUGUUCAUCACACCCAAUUCUUCCAAUAAUUGAGCAAAUGGCAUCUUCGAGCUAAAACAAAUAAUAAAGGAGAUUAUUAUUAUUUUUUAGAUGGUACAAGUAAAUAACCACGAGUUUUCAAUUCUAGUAAUUUUUCCCUAUCCUGUACUUCAUGAUCAUCUGGGGCACACAACAUGGUGUAACAUUCUUGACAACAUUUGGCAGGUUUUACUCUUCUCAUCUUCCUUGCAACAUAACCACUUAAUACAGUUAAAGCAUCUUCAUUUAUU